AUACGAAAGGUGCAAGCGUUGUUCGGAUUUACUGGGCGUAAAGAGAUCGUAGGUGGUUUAUUAAGUCGGAUGUGAAAUCCCGGUGCCCAACCCCGGAACUGCAUUCGAUACUGGUAGACUAGAGUUUGGGAGGGGUAAGCGGAAUUCCGUGUGUAGCAGUGAAAUGCGUAGAUAUACGGAGGAACACCUGAGGCGAAGGCGGCUUACUGGACCAAUACUGACACUGAGGAUCGAAAGCGUGGGUAGCAAACAGGAUUAGAAACCCUAGUAGUCC
rnacentral:rRNA from 1 species